rnacentral:lncRNA from 1 species
UGACGAAUUGUAACUUACAAUUUUUCCUUCUCUAACUGUUAAUUCUCAUUCAAACUUUGUGUACAGCUCCACCUUUAAGUCCUUGACUUACUACAUUAAAAUUCACCUUAUUCUAGCUGAUAGAUCUCCAGAUAUUAAAGAAUCCCUAAACGACCUCAAUAUGCCAACUUCUAAUACCUCUUUACACUAAUGAUCAAAUAUCCUCUAUCCGUACUGUUAGAUUAAUACAAAUUUUUGUAAGUACUUAGCAUAUUCAAUCAUCUAGAUACUUCUAAAAUUUCACAAAACAGUCAAGAGUACUAGCCUUAA